UACGUAGGGGGCGAGCGUUGUCCGAAGUUACUGGGCGUAAAGAGCGCGUAGGCGGGUCUUUAAGUGAGGGGUGAAAGGUUCAGGGCUCAACCCGAACACUGCCUUUCAUACUGGGGACCUUGAGUGCGGGAGAGGCGAGUGGAAUGGUCGGUGUAGCGGUGAAAUGCGUAGAUAUCAGGAGGAACACCGGUGGUGUAGACGGCUCUCUGGACCGUAACUGACGCUGAGGCACGAAAGCGUGGGUAGCAAACAGG
rnacentral:rRNA from 1 species